rnacentral:tRNA from 1 species
GGGGUUGUAGCUCAGUGAUACAGCACUUGCCUUGCACACAUGAGGUACUGGGUCCAAUUCUCAGCACCACA